GACGAACGCUGGCGGCGUGCUUAACACAUGCAAGUCGAACGGAAAGGCCCUGCUUUUGUGGGGUGCUCGAGUGGCGAACGGGUGAGUAACACGUGUGUAACCUGCCCCUGACUUUGGGAUAACUUCAGGAAACUGGGGCUAAUACCGGAUAGGAGCUCCUGCUGCAUGGUGGGGGUUGGAAAGUUUCGGCGGUUGGGGAUUGACUCGCGGCUUAUCAGCUUGUUGGUGGGGUAGUGGCUUACCAAGGCUUUGACGGGUAGCCGGCCUGAGAGGGUGGCCGGCGACAUUGGGACUGAGAGACGGACCAGACUGCUACGGGAGGCAGCAGUGGGGAAUAUGGCGCAAUGGGCGGAAGCCUGUUGCAGCAGCGCCGCGUGCGGGAUGACGGCCUUCGGGUGGUAAACAGCUGUCGCCUGUGACGAAGCGUGAGUGACGGUAAUGGGUAAAGAAGCACCGGCUAACUACGUG
rnacentral:rRNA from 1 species